CCCCACUCACACUGCAACGCACACACACACUGCCAUCCUCACGUACACACUGCAACUUUCACACACACACACACUGCUCACGCAGUCCUUCUUACACAAACACACACACACUGCACCCCUGCUCCUAUGCCCUACUACAGCCCCAUUUCCAAGCAGACCUCAGGUAAGUUGUCAAACUGUUCUUAAACGGUUUGACUACUUACUUUGGGAGGGGGUCCCGGCACUACUAGCACCAUAACCACUACAUUGAGCUGUAGUGGGUAUUGUGUCUGGAUUAUUUCUCUAAAUAAUCUGCAAGUGCCCCUCCCAAGGUCAGGCUCUGGAUCCGCCACUGGGUGCACUGCAUUGCUUAGGAG